AAAAAAGUAAGUAGAAUUGCUUCACAUUUGGAAUUACACAAAAAAGAUUUUUCAUCGGAAAGAGGUCUACGAAGACUUUUGGGAAAACGUCGACGUUUGCUGGCUUAUUUAGAUUCAGGCAAUUGCAGAUGA
rnacentral:rRNA from 1 species